UACGUAGGGUGCAAGCGUUGUCCGGAUUUAUUGGGCGUAAAGAGCGUGUAGGCGGCCAGACAGGUCUGCUGUGAAAACUCGAGGCUCAACCUCGAGACGCCGGUGGAAACCGUCUGGCUAGAGUCCGGAAGAGGAGUGUGGAAUUCCCGGUGUAGCGGUGAAAUGCGCAGAUAUCGGGAAGAACACCCGUGGCGAAGGCGGCACUCUGGGACGGUACUGACGCUGAGACGCGAAAGCGUGGGGAGCGAACAGGA
rnacentral:rRNA from 1 species